GCCGAGAUCACCGCAGAGGGCUGAAUGGUGGAAUAACGCCCCUGAACUCCAUCUCGCCUUUGAAGAAAAAUUUUGCAAGCAAUCAUAUUCAGCUCCAGAAGUAUGCUCGCCCCAGCUCUGCCUUUGCACCUAAAUCCUGGAUGGAAGAUAGCUUGAACAGGGCUGACAACAUUUUUCCUUUUCCGGAUCGCCCCAGGACAUUCGACAUGCACUCACUGGAGAGUUCACUCAUUGACAUAAUGAGAGCUGAAAAUGAUACCAUUAAAGGUAAGUUUAGACAUAUACCCAAUUGAUCUCAGACAAUAGUUUUAAAUGUGUAUUAACUAUUUAAUCUGAUACACAGUAUGGCAAAUAUUAUGGAGUCACUUUGUAUGCAGUAAGUUCUAUCAAUUUUACACAUAUACCUCUUGUUAAAAAAUCCAACAUAUUUGAUGAACCUCUAUAGUGGAGCCAUCGUGAUACCAGGUAAGAGUACUAC
rnacentral:sRNA from 1 species